AGAGGAAGAGGCCGUGUGGGCCACCCCUGAGUGUUUCUUCCAGUUGGAAACUUGACCUGGGCCCAGUAUGAAGCGCUCUUUGGGGAGUUCUAGAGUUUACCAAUCCCCUCUUGAGAAGAACUGGAUUCUGCCUGGCUCCUGCACCUGCAUGUCUCCAUUUAAAGCUCCAUACUCAGACCACAGAACAAGGGGAUACUAUCAGUUUUGUCACCAUUUGUGCUAAAUGCUCAGACAAAAAGGAAUAGGAGUGGAGCUGGCCCUGGCUGCCUUGCUGCCUUGUGUUUCCAAUAUGUCAGGAAACAAGAUACAUCUUUGUAUCUAAAUUCUCUUCAUUGACAUGUAGGGUUAUCAUGGAGUUUGGUGUUUACAUAAGAAAUACAGCAUUCUUGACGGACCUCCCUGGGCAGACGACCCCACCAAUAUGUCCUGGAGUCCUGCUUCCCCAGAGCUCUGCCCCACUAGGGAAAGAGAGAGGCAGCCUGGGAGUAUGGAUCAACCUGUCAAUGCCGAUGUUCA